rnacentral:tRNA from 1 species
AAAAAGAUAAGCUAAAUAAGCUUUUGGGUUCAUACCCCAUUUAUAAAGGUAAAAUCCUUUUCUUUUUA